rnacentral:rRNA from 1 species
GUGUACAGCCAUACCACCUGAACGUACUGUCAUCUGGUCUCAAGCUAAGCAGGAGUGGACCUGAUUAGUACUUGUAUGGAGAAGUAUGUAGUGGAAGAGACUGUUCAUU